UACGGAGGGUGCAAGCGUUGUCCGGAAUCACUGGGCGUAAAGGGUGCGUAGGCGGGUCUUUAAGUCAGGGGUGAAAUCCUGGAGCUCAACUCCAGAACUGCCUUUGAUACUGAGGAUCUUGAGUUCGGGAGAGGUGAGUGGAACUGCGAGUGUAGAGGUGAAAUUCGUAGAUAUUCGCAAGAACACCAGUGGCGAAGGCGGCUCACUGGCCCGAUACUGACGCUGAGGCACGAAAGCGUGGGGAGCGAACAGG
rnacentral:rRNA from 1 species